rnacentral:rRNA from 1 species
AUUGAACGCUGGCGGCAGGCCUAACACAUGCAAGUCGAGCGGAUGAAGGGAGCUUGCUCCUGGAUUCAGCGGCGGACGGGUGAGUAAUGCCUAGGAAUCUGCCUGGUAGUGGGGGAUAACGUCCGGGAACGGGCGCUAAUACCGCAUACGUCCUGAGGGAGAAAGUGGGGGAUCUUCGGACCUCACGCUAUCAGAUGAGCCUAGGUCGGAUUAGCUAGUUGGUGGGGUAAAGGCCUACCAAGGCGACGAUCCGUAACUGGUCUGAGAGGAUGAUCAGUCACACUGGAACUGAGACACGGUCCAGACUCCUACGGGAGGCAGCAGUGGGGAAUAUUGGACAAUGGGCGAAAGCCUGAUCCAGCCAUGCCGCGUGUGUGAAGAAGGUCUUCGGAUUGUAAAGCACUUUAAGUUGGGAGGAAGGGCAGUAAGUUAAUACCUUGCUGUUUUGACGUUACCAACAGAAUAAGCACCGGCUAACCUCGUG